AAUCUUCCAAAAUGUACGCAAGUCUGAUGGAGCAACGCCGCGUGAGUGAAGAAUGUUUUCGGAUCGUAAAACUCUGUUGUUGGAGAAGAACGUAUUUGAUAGUAACUGAUCAGAUUGUGACGGUAUCCAACCAUAAUGCCACCGCUAACUACGUGCCAGCAGCCGCGGUAAUACGUAGGUGGCAAGCGUUGUCCGGAUUUAUUGGGCGUAAAGCGAGCGCAGGCGGUUUCUUAAGGCUGAUGUGAAAGCCGUCGGCUCAACCGAAGAAGUGCAUCGGAAACUGGGAAACUUGAGUGCAGAAGAGGACAGUGGAACUCCAUGUGUAGCGGUGAAAUGCGUAGAUAUAUGGAAGAACACCAGUGGCGAAGGCGGCUGUCUGGUCUGUAACUGACGCUGAGGCUCGAAAGCAUGGGUAGCAAAC
rnacentral:rRNA from 1 species